AGCGUUGUGGCUUAAUCGGUGAAACUGUCUGUCUGGUAAACUGCAGAUCCUCAGUUCAAAUAUUGGCUGUGCAA